UACGUAGGGUGCAAGCGUUGUCCGGAAUUAUUGGGCGUAAAGAGCUCGUAGGCGGUUAGUCGCGUCUGCUGUGAAAACUCGGGGCUUAACUCCGGGCCUGCAGUGGGUACGGGCUGACUAGAGUGCGGUAGGGGAGACUGGAAUUCCUGGUGUAGCGGUGAAAUGCGCAGAUAUCAGGAGGAACACCGGUGGCGAAGGCGACUUCCUGGCCUGUUCUUGACGCUGAGGCGCGAAAGCUAGGGGAGCAAACGGG
rnacentral:rRNA from 1 species